ACGGCCAUACCAUGAUGAAAGAACCCUUUCUCGUCCGAUCAUCGAAGUUAAGCCUCAUCGGGUGGGGUGACCACCUGGGAACACCGCGUGCC